CUACAGUCUGAAACCUAUUGAAGUCAAUGAGACAGGAGAGCAAGCAGCCAACAAGAUACACUCUGAAGUGUCUUUCUGAAUCAGUAGCUUCAUUCUGCUCUAAGGAACAAACCUCCAUUUCAGCGAAAGUCAUCUUAGGAUCAUGGUGCUUUCUUAGAUCUCUGUCAGCCACAAAGCCUACAAGAGAGAGGACAGUGCUAAGGCCUCGCUGCAGGAGAGUGUUGCAGGAAGCUGGAGAGAGCAGAUUCUCAGCUAUACAUUCCAUUACAAAGUCUGACUUAAUUCAUGGAUCAGGAAUGGAAGACCAACUCCCUUGCCUUCAAACCAUGAGGAGUUUGAGAAAGUAGAGUCAACUUCUCACUGUACCAAACUAAAAGAACAGACACAAAUGAAAAACUUCAAUAGUGCAACAAGCUCUGCUCAAAGAAGCUCACCCAGCAGCCCGUUCAAUGCUUUGGCUUUUGUUAAAAGGGAGGUUCUUCAGAGCAAGAGGUUCCAUUACAUGUCUACAUGUUGAGGAGAAGACCCUGGCCAGUGGCCGGCCACCCAUUCAGCCACUCCCUCACUCCCCUUCCUCAUGGGGGCAUGCAGGGGCAGAAAAAUGAUGAAAAAGCUUGUGGACAGAGAUAAAGACAGGGAAAUUACUUACUAGUUACUGUCAAGCAAUUACUUACCAAUUUGUCACUUGGAGAAAAUUAAUUUUUUGCCAAUUGAAAGAGCUUUGGUUUUUUUGAGAAACAAAAUCAAAAACUGAAGGCACGUCUUACCCCCACAUCCUUUCCCACUUCAUUCCUGAUUCCUCUUUCAGUGAAUGGGAGGUGUGACGGGUCCACAACAGUUCCUCUCCACCUCUCCUUUCUCCUCACACUGUUCUCUUGCUCCACCAUGGGCCUCUUCAAUGGGCUGCAGAUUCAUGCUCUGUCUUGGAGGACCUCAUUACUCUCCUCUUUCUCUGAACUUGGCCUUCACCCCAUUACUUCAUCCUUUUUUUCCCCUUCCUCUGCCUGCCUAGUGCUUUUGCCCAUUCUUUAAUACAUCUUCCCUGAGACACCAGCAAAAAGCCACGUGGGCUCCUGGAGCUUGGCAGCGUCUGCUAGGAUGGCCACUGGUCCAUCACUGGUCAACAAUGAGUGUUGCGCCAUCACUUGUUGUAUGCUUCUGGUUCUAAUGCAAGGGAGCAGAUUAUAUAUAACAUCACUAUUUCCAACCUCAGAUAUUCAGCAAAUGUAUUUUUUUCCCCAAAUACUUUUCAAUGGCAAAUAUAGAUACCUUUUCAUUUGUAUUUUGACCUCCAAGCCUUGAAUCUUUCUCCAAACACAUAGUCAAGAAACUCAUUUUUCAAAAGUCCUAAGAGUUGAGUUUCUUAUGAGAGUCUGGUCCACUUCAAGGAGAGAAACCUCAGUUUAUGAAAAAUAAUAUUACAACUGUUGUGCUGGCUGAUGUCCUCUACUUUUACAAGAGAACAAUAGAAAAUCAAUUACACUGACAAACCCCCCUUGUGGGGUGAAACUGUGUAGGCUUUCCCAACAGACAUAACAGAUGUUUCUUGAAGAGUGAUUUCUGAAGGUAAGGAAAUAAGGCAUCUUUUCAUGAAUAUUAUAUCUUCAUUUCUGCAGCUACAUAUUGUAAUCCUUCUGCAUUUCCAAGAGUGGUAGGCUUUAUCACAGAGACAAUUGCUUUGUGUUGGACUAAAACCACAGCUUUUUUGCUUAUGGACUACCAAGCAAUGUGUAGAUGGUGACACUCACCAAAAAUCUCAGCAAACUGACAUUGCAUCAGGUGAAAAACAUUUGUCCUGCUCCUUUCCCCCACCAUGCCACCCUUCUCUGUCUCAUAUUGUACAUCAAGAAAAAGAUACAGUAUUUGGUAUUUAAAACUUACUUUUGUAGAAGGUUGUAGCAGCACACAUUUUUAGAGAAGUAUUCUGCCAGGUCAGGGGAGGAUUUAUUUUCUGAAUGCCUAAUACAUAUUUAAAAGCUGAUAAUAGUACAUGACAGCACCAAAAAUGUUAUAUAACUUCUAGAAUGUCUAUUAAAAAAGUAGAGCCUUGCCAUUAAAAAAAAAAGUAGAAGCCUGUGAGAUUCCCACCAUCUGGAUGGAGUCUUUUUUCUUCCCAGAUGAAUUAGUUGUCAAGGGAGGAAUUAUUUUAGGCAUCAAGUAACCCCUGAUUGUGAGUGACAGACUAACACAAGAGCAGAUGCAAGGUUACUGCUGCCUAUCCAUUAUGUGGAAAGGAGACCCAUGCAUGUCCUACUUACUGUGCAUACUGACUUGGGUUAUUAAAAGAGUAACUAGAGGUGGGUCAGACCCAGAAGAUAGCUCAUACGACUCACAACAGAUGUUCUUUCACAGGAGAGAAAACAAACACUGGAUACUUUCUGGGGAUACUGUAGAAGGAGGGGACUUCACUACUUUCAACAAGUCACAAGUACAGAUUCCCAACAGAGGCACAAACCAACUUUUUCAUUCAAAUAACAGUUAUUUGAGACCGUGAUGAAACACGAGAGGACUGUGGACCGUGCCAGUGAGAAUAAAGAAAUAAAAAACAGUGCCAUCUUGUGUUUGCUGUGCUAAUGAAAUCUAAUCUCACUGACCCAACAGAGAAAACCAUAACAUAAGAACAUUAAUGGCAAGACAAAGGACCUGAACAAUACCACACUUUGGCCAGAGUACAGAAAUCAAAGCCCUACAAAAUGUACUGAGAGCAACAGGCAGGUUGAUUUCCUUUCCAUGAGUGAUACCUGGCUUAGAUGAGAAACAGUACUGCACCAUGUGAUUAGAUUGCUAAACAAGAUGACAUAAUGUUUUCUUCAGCCUUACAUGGCUAAAAUGACUUUAUCAUUUUGUACCAUAUUGCCUUAAGCAAUAACGUGAGCGUCAAAUCUAUGCAGGUAUAUCUAGGCUUAAAGACCGGAAAUCCUAG
ensembl:lncRNA